UUGCAGGUUUUUGUUAAAAUUCGCUAAAAAAAAAUAAAAAAUCAAUUUUUGUUUGUAAAUUUUUUUUACCGAUUUUGUAUAAAAAGCUGCAAUUUUUUCAAAAAAAAGUUUUGUGAUCUAUACGUAUUUUUUUUAUGUAUUUUUAGGGUUUUUUUGUUUUCCAAAUUAAAUUGUGGCUUGUGCACUAUAAAAGGAAUGCUAAAGCCUUAUCCUCAGCCAACAUAUUAGAGAGUGAAACCCUAAGAGAGCAUUUCCUUCGUCUUAAAGCUUGUGUGUGAGUGUUUUGAGCUAAAAGUGCCUUUGUGUGUUUGUGAAGAAGAAGUGGAGGUGCUUGUGGAGGCUAGGGUUUGGAGUUCAAGCUUGGAUCUGAGUUCUUCAGAGGGAGGAGCUUCACUUAGAGGCGGGGGCUAGAUCAGUGUUCUCGUGUGCGAGAUUAUCCAAGACACCCGAGGUACUAGUGAGGACCAUGGGAAGGCACCGGCUUGAUCCGUACACACUGAGAGGAUUUAUGUAUUUGAGAUCUUUUGAGAUUAUGGGAUUUGUUUGUUAUGAUGACAUUGGAUACAGUUUGUUUGAUAUUGUUU